UAAUGGUGUACCUUGCCUUGGUGAGACCUAAAACAGUUGGAAUGCUUACGUUAUUGAUUCUAUUUUGAUAUCCUUAAUGCAUUAUAUGCAUAUGAACUCGCAUAUUUGAUAUUGUAUUUUAAAUGACUAUCUGUGCUACAUUUGAAGGACAUCUUUAGGACCACAGUGACGGUUCAAAUACCCAUAGAUUCAGAUGAAACAGGACAUCUUUACGACUGCAGUGACGCUUCAGAUAUCCAAAGAUUCAGAUAAAACAGGCGAGGUUAUACAGUUUCUUUAUUACUUUAUUUUUUAAAAAAAAGAAUGUCACCUACAUCAGCUUGGUUAGUAUUCCCUCAAAUUGUUGUUGAUCCAAUUUAUGACCAUUAAGAAAAAACACGAGCAUAGUCAUUACAAUAUUUUCACUCUUCAAAGCCAUUGUUUUUUAAGGGCAUAUGUAGUCAUAGUGCUCUCCUUCUGUUUCCUGUCACUUGAUGACCUGUUUAACAAAGCUCAAACCAUAAUGAAAAGGAUACUCUGCAUUCUCCUCAUCUCUAAGUCGGUGAUCCAUAUUUUUAUAAACAUUGUCUUGGAAAGCUGGAAGGUGCUAUACAUUAUCCAUGUGUUAGGUGGGCAUGUCAUCUUACACCAAUGAGAAGGUAAACAAUCCGAUCAUAUUUAACUGUUUCUUUCUACGCAUUGUACAUUUACAUAUCUUCCCUACUUACAUGGUGAAGCUAUCUAUAACUUUAUUUCGACCAUAUUUAACUGUUUCUUUCUACGCAUUGUACAUUUACAUUUCUUCCCUACUUACAUGGUGAAGCUAUCUAUAACUUUAUUUCGACAACGUAAGCUUCUCAUAACUCAUCUCACCUGCUAAACUAUUGAUAACUUUAUUUAGGCAAAUUAGCAGCUUCUACGUAAUUGAACUGUGUGAUGAACCUGUCUACAAUCAGACUGUAGUGUGUGCAUCAUAUACCAUGAAGCGUUAUAGGACCCUUAUUUACUUAAGCAUUCUGGGAACAACAGAACAAUCUCUGAGCUAUACCUGCUUGUUGAUUCUAUUAACCCCUAACAUUUUGUAUCUGUUGAAUACAACUAAUAAUUGUAUUUCUUUUUUUCUCUGCUAUAGGAACCUCUUCGUGUUGCACUAUAUUCUAAUCUUCGGAAUCUCAUUCAGAACCUUAUGAGCGGCAGUGAAACUAUCGAGCAACUUAUUCACACGCUAAUCAAUGAUAACUUGGAUCUUGGUUGUGCCAUCAUUGAGGUUGUGGCAACACGUCAGGUAGCUUCUUGACAAUUCUAAUUCUGUUGAACUAAGUACACCUUUGACUUCUCCUUAAGCAGAUUUAAAAGCUUAAGGUUUACAAUCCCGGAUUGUUUUUACAAUUCUAAUGGAGUUGUCAGUUUUCUGGACAUCUGACAAUGAUUACUCAAAGAUAAACUAUAUCGUGUUAAAGGCUAGUUGGGUACUACCACUGUCCUGAAAUGUAAUCGAUUUGAGUUUGUCCUAAGUAACUACAUUAAGUUUGACCAAGUUCAUAGAAAAGAGUAUUAAGUAUUAGUGGCAUUGAGGAGAUCAACUAUAAAAAUAUAUUUCAUAAAUGUAUGAGUUGAAAAUGAUGUUCAUCUAUUAUUGUAAAUAUUAUUCUUCUCUAUAAAUUUGCCAAAUUUAGGAUAGUUUGACGUAGAGCAACUCAAAAACAUUAUAUUUCAGGAUGGAUCUAUUUAUUAUUAACAUCUUCUGUCUGAUCACCAUUGGAAGUAGAUCUGGCUUGGGGUAUAGUAGAUUGAAUAUAGAGGUACAUGGGGUGUACAAUAUAUAGGCAAGGAUCAUCAAGUUUGACGUCGGCAACGUGGUCAUGGUGACUGGCGGGAGGAACACCGGGCGUGUAGGAGUCAUCAAGAACAGGGAGAAGCACAAGGACAGCUUUGAGACCAUCCACGUGCUGCUUGGAGCUUUUUGCUAUGUCUAGUUUUCUCCUAUUUGUUGUACAGGAAAACAUAGAAUAGAAUUCAAAUUUGGUGGUCG